AAGUCGUAACAAGGUUUCCGUAGGUGAACCUGCGGAAGGAUCAUUAACAAAUUCCAAAACACGCGUGUUUGAUCUAGUUCAUGACAGUGAUACACGAAGGAGGAGAAGGUCGAAUCAAAACAGGGUGUCCCCAUGUUGGGCCAUUCUGUCGAUCUUUGAGACUUUCAUGUUUGUGUCCGUCAUGACCUAGAUCAGUUAACAACACACAACACUCACAUUUAUAAACAGACAACCAAGAGUAACCUAAAACGUUAAAUCGAAACAACUUUUAACAAUGGAUCUCUCGGCUCUU
rnacentral:misc_RNA from 1 species